UUCUUUUUCCACCGCGCGCUUCGAUCCGUUUGGGGAUCUAGUUUUUGGUGUUUUGGGGUUUUCCGGGGUUUUUUUCGGAAAAGAGAAAAAACACUUUGCGUUCCAAUUUUUUUCCCUCUCAUCUUCCCUUUCCCCCCUCUUCUUUUUUUGACCCUUGUAAUUUUUGGUUUUAGCAUUAGGGGCUUUUUGUGAAGCUGCUGUUCUUCACCCCUUCUGCCGAGUAGAACUAGUAAUCUGUUACAGAUUGUAAGCAGAGUGAUCAAGUGAUGCUACUUGCUUGCUUGCUGCAAAGCCUCGUGAUCUUCUGCUGCUUCUCCACUUGUAGUUGGAUAAAUCCUAAAAAAAAAGUUUCCCUCUUGUUUUACCAGUUUUUAGUAUUACCGCCCAUCCUUGUUAAGUUGUAGCACUUGUAAUCUCCAUGGAAGAGAUGAACAAUGAGUAAUUAGCUC
rnacentral:sRNA from 1 species